GGGAGAGGGAGAGAGAGAGAGAAUAAGGGAAAGGGAGAGAGAGAGAGAGAAAAAAAAAUGGUGAUGGGUGUGUUGGCUUAAUGGUGAUGGAUGUGUUGGCUUAAUGGUGAUGGAUGUGUUGGCUUAAUGGUGAUGGAUGUGUUGGCUUAAUGGUGAUGGAUGUGUUGGCUUAAUGGUGAUGGAUGUGUUGGCUUAAUGGUGAUGGAUGUGUUGGCUUAAUGGUGAUGGAUGUGUUGGCUUAAUGGUGAUGGGGGUAUUGACUUAAUGGUGAUGGAUGUGUUGGCUUAAUGGUGAUGGAUGUGUUGGCUUAAUGGUGAUGGAUGUGUUGGCUUAAUGGUGAUGGGGGUAUUGACUUAAUGGUGAUGGAUGUGUUGGCUUAAUGGUGAUGGAUGUGUUGGCUUAAUGGUGAUGGGGGUGUUGGCUUAAUGGUGAUGGAUGUGUUGGCUUAAUGGUGAUGGAUGUGUUGGCUUAAUGGUGAUGGGGGUGUUGGCUUAAUGGUGAUGGAUGUGUUGGCUUAAUGGUGAUGGGGGUAUUGACUUAAUGGUGAUGGAUGUGUUGGCUUAAUGGUGAUGGAUGUGUUGGCUUAAUGGUGAUGGAUGUGUUGGCUUCAUGGUGAUGGAUGUGUUGGCUUCAUGGUGAUGGAUGUGUUGGCUUAAUGGUGAUGGAUGUGUUGGCUUAAUGGUGAUGGAUGUGUUGGCUUAAUGGUGAUGGAUGUGUUGGCUUAAUGGUGAUGGAUGUGUUGGCUUAAUGGUGAUGGAUGUGUUGGCUUAAUGGUGAUGGUGGUAUUGACUUAAUGGUGAUGGAUGUGUUGGCUUAAUGGUGAUGGAUGUGUUGGCUUAAUGGUGAUGGAUGUGUUGGCUUAAUGGUGAUGGAUGUGUUGGCUUAAUGGUGAUGGAUGUGUUGGCUUAAUGGUGAUGGAUGUGUUGGCUUAAUGGUGAUGGGGGUAUUGACUUAAUGGUGAUGGAUGUGUUGGCUUAAUGGUGAUGGAUGUGUUGGCUUAAUGGUGAUGGAUGUGUUGGCUUAAUGGUGAUGGCUGUGUUGGCUUAAUGGUGAUGGAUGUGUUGGCUUAAUGGUGAUGGGGGUAUUGACUUAAUGGUGAUGGAUGUGUUGGCUUAAUGGUGAUGGAUGUGUUGGCUUAAUGGUGAUGGAUGUGUUGGCUUAAUGGUGAUGGAUGUGUUGGCUUAAUGGUGAUGGAUGUGUUGUCUUAAUGGUGAUGGGGGUAUUGACUUAAUGGUGAUGGAUGUGUUGGCUUAAUGGUGAUGGAUGUGUUGGCUUAAUGGUGAUGGGGGUGUUGGCUUAAUGGUGAUGGAUGUGUUGGCUUAAUGGUGAUGGAUGUGUUGGCUUAAUGGUGAUGGAUGUGUUGGCUUAAUGGUGAUGGAUGUGUUGGCUUAAUGGUGAUGGGUGUUGGCUUAAUGGUGAUGGGGGUGUUGGCUUAAUGGUGAUGGAUGUGUUGGCUUAAUGGUGAUGGGGGUAUUGACUUAAUGGUGAUGGAUGUGUUGGCUUAAUGGUGAUGGAUGUGUUGGCUUAAUGGUGAUGGAUGUGUUGGCUUAAUGGUGAUGGAUGUGUUGGCUUAAUGGUGAUGGAUGUGUUGGCUUAAUGGUGAUGGAUGUGUUGGCUUAAUGGUGAUGGAUGUGUUGGCUUAAUGGUGAUGGAUGUGUUGGCUUAAUGGUGAUGGAUGUGUUGGCUUAAUGGUGAUGGAUGUGUUGGCUUAAUGGUGAUGGAUGUGUUGGCUUAAUGGUGAUGGAUGUGUUGGCUUAAUGGUGAUGGAUGUGUUGGCUUAAUGGUGAUGGAUGUGUUGGCUUCAUGGUGAUGGAUGUGUUGGCUUAAUGGUGAUGGAUGUGUUGGCUUAAUGGUGAUGGAUGUGUUGGCUUAAUGGUGAUGGAUGUGUUGGCUUAAUGGUGAUGGAUGUGUUGGCUUAAUGGUGAUGGAUGUGUUGGCUUAGCAAGAUGUAGGUAACAGGAGAGAGACACGGGGAGAGAUGGAGAGAAAAAGAGAUGAUAGAGAGAGUCACUGGAGAGAAUGUCAUGCAGUAUGUAUAUGGACCAGCCUCGUGUGUCAUGCAGUAUGUUUUCUGUCAGAUAUGUUUUGUCUUCCCAGAGCUGCCGUGACAGAGGCCGGACUCGUGUGGGACCGCGGAGAUGCCGGGUCAAGCAGGGGAGACAUCACGGAGAGUCACACCAAGAUAGAUAGGUCAAUUUAGGAUGCCGCGGACGGACCAUGCAGAGGACUCAUCGCGACGACACCAACGGUUUGGUUAAGUGGGUUCUCUUGUGUGUGCGUCUGUGUGUGAAUGGCAGGCCUGUCGUAUGAUUGUGUGUGUGUGUGCGUUGGCGUUAUGCCUUCGCACUAUUAUUUUGUUAGGAUGUAUUUUUGUGUGUGAACUUUUUGCACGUAAUCUUUUUUUAUACCCAUAGCUAGCGUUUGUUUGUGUGGCAGUGUUCCGGGAGAUGGACGCCGGGGGACAUGGGCUUGGGGAGGCGCACAUGACCUCCUCUGUCCGUGACCUCUUCAGCUGGGGAGACCGGUAAGCAUUUUGAUAUAGUUGUGUGGAUAAUGGAUAUUGUUUUUUACAGCUAAAGAAACCACUCUAGGGCAACGAGAAAAUAGGUUUAGAAAAAGCCCGUUAACCCCUUCCCGGCAGCAGGGCUGACAUGAUUUUCCACCAAGUUUAGUAGAAAACACUCACUUGUCAAUCCUGUGUUGUGAGAAUUAGUGUUGGAACACUCUCAUACACGGGAGAUUUUAGUGCGGCUGGUGGUCGCAGUGAGCGUUUAGCAUCACCAGCAAAUACGCCUAACGCCCGCUGCAAGCGUUUAGCAAUGAAAGGGUUAAGUUAGACUAGUUAUAUGUAUAUUGAUACAUUCAAAAAGUCCCAAUUUCCAAACGUCUCUAUAUAGAUCCUCCGCAGGGAAGGGCUUAACCCGUGGGCUUGGGCCGUGGGGAAGCCGAGAAGUGGCCGGGAAAUGGCAAAAUUACAUUGCAUUUUGAGACUAAGAAAAGAGCAUGGAACGUACAUCAGAGCACCUGCUCCUCUCAUAACUAUAAAGCCAUUAAGAAUAUUUCUUUUACUCAAACUCCACUCUGUGUGGUGUUUGUCACAAAAUAAAGAGUCUUGUGACGCAUGACAUCUAGCCGAGAGUCGCUUGUUGUCUACUUUAAAGAAUUUGACGAGUGAUUACUGUAUGGAUAGCUAAUUCAGUCUGCCGUGACCUUACUGCACCACUUGUCAUGCAUGGUAGGUUGCGGUAUGCCACAACCACCUACAAUUAGCUUGAAUCAGGGGUUUUAUGGCGAGCCCUUUUUAGGGUCCACCGUACCACAGCCAUGACUCGUGAAACCCCAGAAAAGGGUCUGCCGAUGUUCUUGGGUUAAUCGCUGCUCCUUCAGAAACAAAAGUUAUGAGCGGCUGAAAGGGAGGUCAGUUUCGGGAGGAGAGGCGUCUCGAUACGUCAUUACUCGUGAGAGAAUUCAAGUCGAAGGCAGGAGGAGAUAUAGACACAGGAAGGGUGCCCCAGAGUUUACCAGUGUAAGGGAUGAAAGAAUGAAGAUGUUGGUUAACUCUUGCAUAAUGGGUUUGGACAGUAUAGGGAUGAAAGAGUGGAGAUGCUGGUUGACUCUUGCAUAAUGGGUUUGGACAGCACAGGGAUGAAAGAAUGAAGAUGCUGGUUAACUCUUGCAUAAUGGGUUUGGACAGCACAGGGAUGAAAGAAUGAAGAUGCUGGUUAACUCUUGCAUAAUGGGUUUGGACAGUAUAGGGAUGAAAGAGUGAAGAUGCUGGUUGACUCUUGCAUAAUGGGUUUGGACAGUAUAGGGAUGAAAGAGUGGAGAUGCUGGUUGACUCUUGCAUAAUGGGUUUGGACAGCACAGGGAUGAAAGAAUGAAGAUGCUGGUUAACUCUUGCAUAAUGGGUUUGGACAGUAUAGGGAUGAAAGAGUGGAGAUGCUGGUUGACUCUUGCAUAAUGGGUUUGGACAGCACAGGGAUGAAAGAAUGAAGAUGCUGGUUAACUCUUGCAUAAUGGGUUUGGACAGUAUAGGGAUGAAAGAGUGGAGAUGCUGGUUAACUCUUGCAUAAUGGGUUUGGACAGUAUAGGGAUGAAAGAGUGGAGAUGCUGGUUGACUCUUGCAUAAUGGGUUUGGACAGCACAGGGAUGAAAGAAUGAAGAUGCUGGUUAACUCUUGCAUAAUGGGUUUGGACAGUAUAGGGAUGAAAGAGUGGAGAUGCUGGUUGACUCUUGCAUAAUGGGUUUGGACAGCACAGGGAUGAAAGAAUGAAGAUGCUGGUUAACUCUUGCAUAAGGGGUUUGGACAGUAUAGGGAUGAAAGAGUGGAGAUGCUGGUUAACUCUUGCAUAAUGGGUUUGGACAGUAUAGGGAUGAAAGAGUGGAGAUGCUGGUUGACUCUUGCAUAAUGGGUUUGGACAGCACAGGGAUGAAAGAAUGAAGAUGCUGGUUAACUCUUGCAUAAUGGGUUUGGACAGUAUAGGGAUGAAAGAGUGGAGAUGCUGGUUAACUCUUGCAUAAUGGGUUUGGACAGUAUAGGGAUGAAAGAGUGGAGAUGCUGGUUGACUCUUGCAUAAUGGGUUUGGACAGCACAGGGAUGAAAGAAUGAAGAUGCUGGUUAACUCUUGCAUAAUGGGUUUGGACAGUAUAGGGAUGAAAGAGUGAAGAUGCUGGUUUACUCUUGCAUAAUGGGUUU